AGCCUGUGCAGGGGCUGCUUUGCUUUGCAGGCAGGGAAGGGCUUGGGCUGCUCCACUGCCCUUGUUUGCUUUGGGAUCACCAUGGGGGCAGUGCAGGGGAAGGGAGAAAGCCUGGGAUUCCCUCACCCAUGGUGGGUUUUUCCCUGGCAUGCAGGGGUUGGGCCUUCCUUAAGCCCCUGACAGAGAUCAGAGUUUUUAAAUUUUUUCUUAUUUCCCCUUUUUGUCUGUAAUCUAUUUUCAAUAAUUUGUUGUUUGUUUUUCUAGAGGAAGCGUUCCAGGUGGGGUCCAGUCUGGAUCAGGAAGUGCUUGGGAGCAGCUGCAGCGUGGAUGGGCCGUGCCCUUGGAGAAGGCUGAGGGCAUCGUUUGGGACCAGCUUUUCUUCCAGCGGUGGAUGGCGUGAGCCGGGCUCUGCGGGUGCUGAGGCUGCUCUGGGCUCUGCCAGGGCUCUGCUGGCCUCUGCCCUGGGCACAGCUGGGCUGGCUCUGCCCUCACAUUGCUCUGACAGCUUUGCAUCAGACAAGCCUAUUCCGAGCACAGUGCCUGAGCUUUCUGCUUUGGCAGAAACAUGCUCUACAAAAGGAGUGUCCUUUGCUCCUGGUUCCCGUGGGGAGCAGCUCCCUUCCCGCUGGCUGAGCUGCUCAGGCAGAGCCCGGCAGCUCCUGGCCCUGCAGGGCUGAGGCUUUUCCCCGUUGCUGGGCACAGACUGAUGGAGCAGCACGGCUGAACACGGGGCACACAGAGGGACCAGCAGCAGCUGCCUUUGGCCACCUGAGGCUCCAAGGCCCAAACUCUGAGCAGGCAGGGCUGGAAGAGACUCGCAGGCUCCCUGCUGGCUCUGCUGCCCCACUUGUGCCCACCUGGGAGCCCCCAGUGCCAGCAGGGACUUGAGAUGGCAGCCCUGGGCUCCUGGAGGUUGUGCAAGGAACGGAGCUGGGGACUCCCUGUCCAUGGAGAGCUUCCAGAUGGAAACGGCUGCUGUGCCCAGGCAGAUCCAAGGGCAGAGAAAGGAGGGUCUGGACCACGGGAUCUGUGCCAGUCCCACAGUCCUGGGCAGCAGCCACCGAGCCCUGGGGGAGCAGAGGGCACAGCAAGAGGGACAAAACCAGGCAAGGUCAGAGACUGGAGAGAGCCAGACCUGGGAGCAGGAGCAGCUGCUCCAUUGCACCCUUGGAGAAAGCUCUUGGCUGGUUCAAAGGGCUGAAAGGCAUCAAGGGCAGAGAGGAGGCCACACCAAGCAAUGCUCCUGUUUUCACGGCCUCCCCUCUCCGUGUUCCAGAAGGAAUUGGAUGAAUUGUGUUCUUCCCUCUGAGUCCUCUCGUUCAGCACGAGCAGCUGAGCACCAGGAGCUGAAGGAGCUGAAGCCUCAGGCCUCAAGAGCUGAGCAAGAGGAGACUUUCUGAGCAAAUGAAUGCUGCUAACAUGGACCUGGCUGAAUGCAGCAGAUGGAACCAUGGAAUCACAGAAUCCUUUCUGUGGGGAAAGACCUCUGAGCUCAUCCAGUCCAGCCGUUCAGUGUCGAGCCCAGCACUAAGCCACAUCCCUGAAGUGCCAAGGCCUGGACAACAGCCCUGAGUGAGGCCUGAAGAGCAGGCCCUGAGCCAAAGGUGGCCUCGGGAUGAACCUUCCAACCAAAGGUUAUCUUUGUAUCUGCUCAUUAAUGAAAUAUGCAUGGUCAUUAGCACUGUGGUAGAUGUAUCCACUCAUUAGUGAAACAUGUUGUCCCAGAUUGAAAGGCAAGAUGUAUUCCAUUUGCCAUCUCUAUGGCAGUUGUGCAGAGGGCAGAUUUCCUUUUCUCUUUCACAACCUAUUCUCCUUCUGGGGAGACAUCUGCUAAUAAUGAGCUAUUGAAUGUCACUGCACGACUGAUAAGAACUAUAACAUCCCGCUGGGAGAUGCUCCGCCCAGAGGGAGGAGCCAAGCAUUUCUACCUGGAUAUAAUCUUGAGUUUCUGGAACACCAGCAUGGCUUUUUCUGCACUGGAUUUCCCAGAGGAACAGCUGCCUCUUCCACUGCCUCUUCAGAGGAAGACUACACCAUUUUCUACAGGAUCACUGCUCCAACAGAACCACACCUGCCACUCCAGGGGGACUGCAACCACCAUUCCAAUUAGACUGCUACCAACACCCUGACCAAAAGGGUGUCAGGUUGUAUUCUGACUCUGUCAGUGUUGUUUUGCAUUACUGCAUUGUUUAUUAUAUCUUUUUCUUUUCUUCCCUAAUAAAGAGCUGUAAUUCCUGCUCCCGUA